rnacentral:rRNA from 1 species
CCUACGGGGGGCAGCAGUGAGGAAUAUUGGUCAAUGGGCGUAAGCCUGAACCAGCCAAGUCGCGUGAGGGAUGAAGGCUCUAUGGAUCGUAAACUUCUUUUAUAAGGGAAUAAAGUGUGGGACGUGUCCUGUUUUGUAUGUACCUUAUGAAUAAGGAUCGGCUAACUCCGUGCCAGCAGCCGCGGUAAUACGGAGGAUCCGAGCGUUAUCCGGAUUUAUUGGGUUUAAAGGGUGCGUAGGCGGAAUUUUAAGUCAGCGGUGAAAGUCCCUGGCUCAACCAGAGAAUUGCCGUUGAAACUGGGGUUCUUGAGUAGGUGAGAGGCAGGCGGAAUGCGUGGUGUAGCGGUGAAAUGCUUAGAUAUCACGCAGAACCCCGAUGGCGAAGGCAGCCUGCCGGACCAUAACUGACGCUGAUGCACGAAAGCGUGGGGAUCAAACAGGAUUAGAUACCCGAGUAGUC